GCUCAUAUAACGAACUCACAACUAAAGCUGAAAGAAAUUGAGUUGAGCUUCCAAUGCGAAUGAGAAUGUUUCAAAUCAUUUGUGAUUGACACUCUUUCUUCUUUUCUUUUUCUUUUGCUUUUGGUUCUGUUUUUCGAACGCACUGGGUUGUUUGCGGCAACCGUAAGAAAA
rnacentral:ribozyme from 1 species